ACUCAGGGUGGAAUCUGAAGUUUAAAGUGCAACUUUUAAUAGAGACGUGGGAAAAUUAAAUCUCUUCUGAUUCCCACCAGAGUUUUCUGAAAGAAGACAGAAUGAUUUGAGCGUUAUGUGACAUUUCACUCCCCCAGAUGAUCCUUAAGGCAUGAAGUGGAGAGUAAAAAUAAGGGGGUCUCAGAGGUUUGUGGAGGUCAGUAGUGGAGACUAUUGCUGGGAGCUACUUCAGCUCAGCCAGGCUUGUCUAAUUCUAGAGAGAUUAGAAGUGAAAUAUUCCCUUUAAUGUCCAUCAGAGGGCGCUCUCUUAUUGUGCAGUUGUAACUGUCUCUGCCUUUCAUUUGAGGGUUUCUGCAGCUACGACCACCCAGUCUGUCUGGAUCAGGGCUGGAGGACUUUUUGGUGGAGGAAACAAUGAAAACAGUUUGUCCGCACCCACCCUCACGGUCCUGCCCCCCUCCAGCAUGGAGCUGCAGCAGGGGAAGGCCACACUUGUGUGUUUGGCCAACAAGGGCUUCCCCUCAGACUGGAGGCUGAGCUGGAAGCUGGACGGGCGCAGCUGGAGCUCGGGGGUUAGCCAGAGCCCCGGGCUUCUGCAGAAGGACGACGGCCUCUACAGCUGGAGCAGCACCCUGACCCUCCAGGGGGACCAGUGGCUAAAGAAGACAGUGACCUGUCAGGCCACCAAGGACUCCCAGCCUCCUGUCAGCCAAACCCUGAGGAGAGAGCAAUGCACUGGGCAGUGAGUGUCCACACAUGUGUUGGAGCUGCUAGAGCUCCUCUUGAUCUUCAGUGAGCUCAAACAUGGCUCUGCUUAAUGCUGUGAUCUUCAUCUCAUCAUUUCAUCAUCACAAUAAAGAGUUUCAGUAUUAA